AGUAGGAGGAAACAAAAUGAACGAAGUUCAUUUUUCAGGAUGUUUCCGACGAAAUGCCGCUGACCCGAAGGGAGGGGGCACUACAUAUU
rnacentral:sRNA from 1 species